UCUCCAUUGAGCAAGGCGCGGUGUGGUUUGGACUCUGUAUGCAGAAUCGCUCAUCCUAUCAGCAAAAGCAAGAGCUGUUGUGAUUUCAUGGAUGCAGUCCAAAAUUCCCUCCAAGAAAAACUCUCCCGGCUUUCCCAGCUCAAAAAAUUCAGACAGCGUUCAACAGCAUUCACUCUGGCUUUGAUUAGAUUGCAAUUUCUUUCAGAGGUUUCGGACACGCAAGGAUUUUGGGGUUGCUUUUACCCAUUUUUCGGAGAUUAAAAGAAGAA